UACGUAGGGGGCUAGCGUUGUCCGGAAUCAUUGGGCGUAAAGAGCGUGUAGGCGGCCGCACAGGUCCGUUGUGAAAACUGGAGGCUUAACCUUCAGACGUCGAUGGAAACCGUGCGGCUAGAGUCCGGAAGAGGAGAAUGGAAUUCCUGGUGUAGCGGUGAAAUGCGCAGAUAUCAGGAAGAACACCCGUGGCUAAGGCGGUUCUCUAGUACGGUACUGACGCUGAGACGCGAAAGCGUGGGGAGCGAACAGG
rnacentral:rRNA from 1 species